UACCAAUAGGAAAAAUUAUAUUUUUUGGUAAAAAGAUAGUUAAAUAGAUUAAAUAAAUAUUUUUAAUGAAUGUAAUAAUAUAAAAGUAAAAUUUAGAUAUUAUUGAUAAUUUCGUAAUUAAAAACAACAUUGAAGCUAUGAUAGCCUUGAUAGAAACUGGGAUUAGAUACCCCACUAUUCUUGGUUGUAAAUUAAUUAUUUACCAGAGUACUACUAAUUAAAUAAUUUAAAACUCAAAGGACUUGGCGGUGUUUUAGACUUUUCAGGGGAAUUUGUUCCAUAAACGAUAAUCCACGUUAAAUCAACCUUUUUUAUUAGUUUGUAUACCGUCGUCGCCAGAUAACUUUGUAAAAUUUAAAAGUUAACAGAAGAGUUUUUGACUUAAACGUCAGAUCAAGGUGCAGCCUACAAAAAGGAGAGAAUGAGUUACAAUUAUAAAUCAUAAUUACGGAUCUGUUUCUGAAAUUAACAAUGAAGGUGGACUUGAAAGUAAAUUAGAUUAGAUAAACAAAUUGAAUGUGGUUCUAAAACGUGC
rnacentral:rRNA from 1 species